rnacentral:rRNA from 1 species
UACAGAGGCCCCAAGCGUUACUGAGAAUCACUGGGUUUAAAGGGUGCGUAGGUGGCGCGUUAAGUCCGUUGUGAAAUCCCUGGGCUCAACCCAGGAAUUGCUUCGGAUACUGGCGUGCUUGAGGCUAGUAGGGGUCACUGGAACUGACGGUGGAGCGGUGAAAUGCGUAGAUAUCGUCAGGAACGCCGAUGGUGAAGACAGGUGACUGGGCUAGUUCUGACACUGAGGCACGAAAGCGUGGGGAGGCGAACGGGA